AUUGAAUUUAAUUCAGAAUUGGUUUGUUUAAUAUAUAAUUAUAUUUAUAUUAAAACUUCCAAUUUAAAAUUAAUAAGGAUAAGCUUAUUAAUUAGUCUAUAAUUUAUAUUUAUUGGGUUAUGUAGGAUUAGAAAUUUUCAUCAUUUAUUUUGUUAUAAUGAAGCUCAAUUUUCAUUUUAUUUUAUUAUAAUUUAGUUUUAUAUCAAAAAUUAUUAUUUAAUAACAAUUAAUAGUUAUAAUGAUAAAAUUAGUAAAUUAUUAAUUAAUAUAUAGUAAUUCGGCAAAAUUAUUCUUCACCUGUUUAUCAAAAACAUGUCUUAAUGUAUUAUAUUAAGUCUAACCUGCUCAAUGAUAAAUAAAUAGCCGCAGUAUUUUGACUGUGCGAAGGUAGCAUAAUCAUUUGUCUUUUAAUUGAAGGCUUGUAUGAAUGGUUGAAUGAGGGAAUAACUUUCUUUAUAUUAAAUAUUGAAUUUAAUUUUUAAGUUAAAAAGCUUAAAUUUUUUAAUGGGACGAGAAGACCCUAUAGAAUUUUAUAAUUAUUUAUUUUUUUAUUUGGUUAUUUUAUUUAUAAAUAAUAUUUUGUUGGGGUGACAAUGGAAUUUUUUUAACUUCCAUAUUAUAUUAAUUGUAAAUUUGCAUAUUAAUGAUCCUUAAUUUAGGAUAAUUAGAU
rnacentral:rRNA from 1 species